GGGCGCGUAGCAUAGCUAGGUGGCGCGCCCGGCUGAUAACCGGGAGGUCAUGAGAUCGAAUCUCAUCGUGCCCA
rnacentral:tRNA from 1 species